AAAAAAUCGUAACAAGGUUUCCGUAGGUGAACCUGCGGAAGGAUCAUUACCUAGAGUUUGUAGACUUCGGUCUGCUACCUCUUACCCAUGUCUUUUGAGUACCUUCGUUUCCUCGGCGGGUCCGCCCGCCGAUUGGACAACAUUCAAACCCUUUGCAGUUGCAAUCAGCGUCUGAAAAAACAUAAUAGUUACAACUUUCAACAACGGAUCUCUUGGUUCUGGCAUCGAUGAAGAACGCAGCGAAAUGCGAUAAGUAGUGUGAAUUGCAGAAUUCAGUGAAUCAUCGAAUCUUUGAACGCACAUUGCGCCCCUUGGUAUUCCAUGGGGCAUGCCUGUUCGAGCGUCAUUUGUACCUUCAAGCUCUGCUUGGUGUUGGGUGUUUGUCUCGCCUCUGCGUGUAGACUCGCCUUAAAACAAUUGGCAGCCGGCGUAUUGAUUUCGGAGCGCAGUACAUCUCGCGCUUUGCACUCAUAACGACGACGUCCAAAAGUACAUUUUUACACUCUUGACCUCGGAUCAGGUAGGGAUACCCGCUGAACUUAAGCAUAUCAAUAAGCGGAGGAAAAGAAACCAACAGGGAUUGCCCUAGUAACGGCGAGUGAAGCGGCAACAGCUCAAAUUUGAAAUCUGGCGUCUUUGGCGUCCGAGU
rnacentral:rRNA from 1 species